AGUGAACGCUGGCGGUAGGCCUAACACAUGCAAGUCGAACGGCAGCACAGUAAGAGUUUGCUCCUACGGGUGGCGAGUGGCGGACGGGUGAGGCAUACAUCGCAAUCUACUUUUUCGUGGGGGAUUACGUAGGGAAACUUACGCUAAUACCUCAUACGACCUACGGGUGAAAUCAGGGGAUCUUCGGACCUUGCGCGAUUGAAUGAGCCGAUGUCGGAUUAGCUAGUUGGCGGGGUAAAGGCCCACCAAGGCGACGAUCCGUAGCUGGUCUGAGAGGAUGAUCAGCCACACUGGAACUGAGACACGGUCCAGACUCCUACGGGAGGCAGCAGUGGGGAAUAUUGGACAAUGGGCGCAAGCCUGAUCCAGCCAUACCGCGUGAGUGAAGAAGGCCUUCGGGUUGUAAAGCCCUUUUGUUGGGAAAGAAAAGCAGCAGGUUAAUCCCCCGAUAUUCUGACGGUACCCAAAGAAUAAGCACCGGCUAACUUCGUG
rnacentral:rRNA from 1 species